rnacentral:rRNA from 1 species
UACGGGGGGGGCAAGCGUUGUUCGGAAUUACUGGGCGUAAAGGGCUCGUAGGUUGCCAACUAAGUCGGACGUGAAAUCCCUCAGCUUAACCGGGGAACUGCAUCUGAUACUGGAUGGCUUGAGUUUGGGAGAGGGAUGCGGAAUUCCAGGUGUAGCGGUGAAAUGCGUAGAUAUCUGGAGGAACACCGGUGGCGAAGGCGGCAUCCUGGACCAACACUGACACUGAGGAGCGAAAGCCAGGGGAGCAAACGGG